rnacentral:misc_RNA from 1 species
CUAAAAUAUAUUUUUUUCAUUUUAGGUAUUUUAUGACAUUGGUUCUGUAUCUCCCGAUUUAAUUACAAAGUACAGUGUUCUUAUGGAGGGACUGAUCUGGGACAUACAGAUUAUGUUUAAACACGUGAAGCUUGAUAAAAAAGAAAAGGAUGAACUUAUUCCAUACGGUUAUACCGACAAAAUCUUUCAAACUUGGUCUACACAGAAUGAGAAUUAUAGUAAAAACAUUGCAUUUUCAAACGUGGAUCUAAACCAGGCAAUCUUUGUGGAACUUUCAGAGCGUGGAUCGCUUACUGGGCAAAUGUACACAAAAUGUAAACGAAAACUUGAUGAAACAGUAAAGGAAACAGACAUUGAAAUGCAACUAAGGAAAGAUAUUUUCAAGAAGGCACAACCGGACAAACUGAAGGCGGAAAUCAACAAAUUACGAAAAGGUCAAGAACACACGAACAAGACUGAUAAUCAGAUACCUAAACAUAUUUCUGACAACCAACCAUUCGCAGGAGUAAGUCAGCCAAAGCAUGCAUUAGAGCAUACAGAGAAGGCUGAAAAUGAAUCUGGUGGGCAAAUGUCAAAAAAGCUAGAAAACAGUUUCAGUGGAGCACGUCCAAAGUCAUCCAAAAAUGUUUAUUCAACAUCAAACAUGUCGCCUAAAAAUGCAGCGUCAGAAAAAUCAUACAGUCAAAUCGCAGCAACACCUACAGUAUCGCAUGCUUCUGCUGUAGGCGUAAAGCUCUCUUCUUCUACGUUAGAAAAUGUACCUUCAGACAGAUAUAACGCAAAUUGGAAUACGAGACAGGAGAAUGCAGAGAAAACUGAAAUAGAACCGGAUGGACAGACGUCAGACAGGCCGGGAAUAGUUUCAAAGGAGCACGCCCAAAGACCUCGAAAAAUGUUGGUUUAACAUCAAACGUGUCGCCUGGAAAUGCAGUAUCAAAAACAUUAUACAGUCAAAUCGUAGCAGCACCUGCAGCUAUGAAAAAUGAAAUAUCUCAUGCUUCUGCUGUAGGCGUAAAGCUCUCUUCUUCAACGUUGGAAAAUGUACCUUCCGACAGAUAUAACGCAAACUGGAAUACG